CCUACGGGUGGCACCAGUGGGGAAUAUUGGACAAUGGGCGAAAGCCUGAUCCAGCAAUGCCGCGUGUGUGAAGAAGGUCUUCGGAUUGUAAAGCACUUUCGACGGGGACGAUGAUGACGGUACCCGUAGAAGAAGCCCCGGCUAACUUCGUGCCAGCAGCCGCGGUAAUACGAAGGGGGCUAGCGUUGCUCGGAAUGACUGGGCGUAAAGGGCGCGUAGGCGGUUUAUGCAGUCAGAUGAGAAAUCCCCGGGCUUAACCUGGGAACUGCAUUUGAGACGCAUAGAAUAGAGGUAGAGAGAGGGUUGUGGAAUUCCCAGUGUAGAGGUGCAAUUCGUAGAUAUUGGGAAGAACACCGGUGGCGAAGGCGGCAACCUGGCUCGAUACUGACUCCGAGGCGCGAAAGCGUGGGGAGCAAACAGGAUUAGAUACCCCGGUAGUC
rnacentral:rRNA from 1 species